GCAUGUGUGUUAUGUUGGUUCUCCGUGACAUUCUUGAAGUUGUGAGUAAUUAGAUUGUCUUUUGCUGCGUUUAGGUUGUACCACCUCGUUAACCUCGUUGUUUUCGUGUACUUUUGCGCUCAUCGACGCGAAGUGAGCGUCCAGAGUGAUGGCGACGCGAUUAUGCGUGAGAAAGAAAGGCAGCAGCGGCCUACGACAUCGGUGUUUCUUUGUGACAGUGUGUUUACUAUGCCUACGACGGCCGUCAUUCGUGGUGAAGGAGAAAACAUCUUCCAUUCGGCCUGAAGAGUGAUGAAGUGGACGUUUUGUUUUUCGGCGGAAUGCAUCGUCAACAUGGUCCAUCCACUACGUAAACGAAACGGCGUGCCCAGAGUACACAUCGUGACAGCGCUCCGCCUUCAAACGGAGGGCCUUUUGCAAGGCGCAUGGACUGCUCAUAUAAAGGUUACAGUCAGCAUGAAGCAAUUGCAUGGGAACCGACUGGCUGUCUUGGGCCUACACGUUGCUGAAAAGACAGUGAAGACGUCUGAGCCGACAGGUAGAAAACAAGCAGAUGGCUACAGCGAUCAGUGAAGAAAUGGCUUCAUCUAUGAUGGCUCACCAUAGGACAUUGGAAUGGAGCUACACAAAGGCAUCACCAGCCUCGCCUGUGCCCUGGAACAUUGGUUUGAAUAAGACUGUUCUUCAGUGUAGAACGACCACAAGACUUGUCACCACAUACAAGGCAUAGUGCAAGCUAUAAAUAUUGUACAGGUGGCUAGAAUAAAUGACCCUCCAUGCAGUCA